UAAGGGGUAUAUAUAGGUAGCAGCCAAAAUCCAACCGUUACACACAAAAUUGCAAACUCGAUGACACCGAAGUGGACAACUCGGUGGUAUCGAUUAGUACUAAAAGUGUGAACUUUGAAUCUCGGUGAGACCGAUAUAUAGAACUCGGUGGCACCGAAAAGGUGACUAACGGUCAUAUGACCAAACUCGGUGGCACCGAUACUCAAACUCGGAAAUUACGAUUUUGUGUAUCUUGGCAACAGAAUGUUGGUCACACUGAACUCGGUAGCACUGAUGCAGUUUUGGUUGCACCGAUUUGGUGGGAAUGGCUAGGGUUCUUUCUCAGGUUCAAACUCAGUGGGUCCAAAGUGGCAAUGUUGGUUACACCGAAUUUGUGUAUGAGGAACUUGACAGAGUGGAUAUGUGGGGGAAAUGACUGAGUGUUUUGGUGGCUAACUUUGAGCAUUUGAGCAACCAGUUCAUUUUACUACCUCACCCCCUUUUAAUAGUAUUGGCUUUCCUAUGGACUCAAAAGUGAUUUCUCACAAAUAUAAAAUAAAGUGACUUCUAGCUUGAAGCUUGAGCCAAUAUUAUUCCGUUCUUGCAUCUGGGGGUAUCUCCACAUAAAUCUUGAGCCAUAUCAUAUUUUGAACUUUUCUGAAAUACACUUGGAAAACACAUUAGUCCAAUGAUGCAUAUGUUGUGAUCAAUUAUCAAAACCACCCUAGGGAGAAAUUGUGCUUUCAAUCUCCCCAUUUUUGGUAAUUGAUGACAACAUAUAGAUCAAAGCUUCGACAAAAGAAAUAAUCAAUGAUUAGCAUCGACGCUUUGAGAAGUAUGUGAAAAACAAGAGCUCCCC
rnacentral:lncRNA from 1 species